rnacentral:rRNA from 1 species
GGUGAGUAACACGUAGGCAACCUGCCUGUAAGACUGGGAUAACUCGCGGAAACGCGAGCUAAUACCGGAUAACACUUUCUAUCACCUGAUGGAAAGUUGAAAGGCGGCUUUUGCUGUCACUUACAGAUGGGCCUGCGGCGCAUUAGCUAGUUGGUGAGGUAACGGCUCACCAAGGCGACGAUGCGUAGCCGACCUGAGAGGGUGAUCGGCCACACUGGGACUGAGACACGGCCCAGACUCCUACGGGAGGCAGCAGUAGGGAAUCUUCCGCAAUGGACGAAAGUCUGACGGAGCAACGCCGCGUGAGUGAUGAAGGUUUUCGGAUCGUAAAACUCUGUUGUCAGGGAAGAACAAGUACGAUAGUAACUGAUCGUACCUUGACGGUACCUGACCAGAAAGCCACGGCUAACUACGUGCCAGCAGCCGCGGUAAUACGUAGGUGGCAAGCGUUGUCCGGAAUUAUUGGGCGUAAAGCGCUCGCAGGCGGUUCUUUAAGUCUGAUGUGAAAUCUUGCGGCUCAACCGCAAACGUGCAUUGGAAACUGGAGGACUUGAGUGCAGAAGAGGAGAGUGGAAUUCCACGUGUAGCGGUGAAAUGCGUAGAGAUGUGGAGGAACACCAGUGGCGAAGGCGACUCUCUGGUCUGUAACUGACGCUGAGGAGCGAAAGCGUGGGGAGCGAACAGGAUUAGAUACCCUGGU